rnacentral:rRNA from 1 species
GUGUCAGCAGCCGCGGUAAGACGGAGGGUGCAAGCGUUGUUCGGAAUUACUAGGCGUAAAGAGCGUGUAGGUGGUUAGCUAAGUCGGAUGUGAAAAUUCCGAGCUCAACUCGGAACCUGCAUUCGAAACUGGUUAACUUGAGUGUGGGAGAGGAGAGUGGAAUUCCUAGUGUAGCGGUGAAAUGCGUAGAUAUUAGGAAGAACACCGGUGGCGAAGGCGACUCUCUGGCCUAAAACUGACACUGAGACGCGAAAGCGUGGGGAGCGAACAGGAUUAGAAACCCCUGUAGUCC